CAGGACGAACGCUGGCGGCAUGCCUAAUACAUGCAAGUCGAGCGAAUGAUGAAGAAGCUUGCUUCUCUGAUUAGCGGCGGACGGGUGAGUAACACGUGGGCAACCUACCCUAUAGAUUGGGAUAACACAGGGAAACCUGUGCUAAUACCGAAUAAUACCUUUCUCUUCAUGGAGGAUGGUUGAAAGAUGGUUUCGGCUAUCACUAUAGGAUGGGCCCGCGGCGCAUUAGCUAGUUGGUGAGGUAAUGGCUCACCAAGGCAACGAUGCGUAGCCGACCUGAGAGGGUGAUCGGCCACACUGGGACUGAGACACGGCCCAGACUCCUACGGGAGGCAGCAGUAGGGAAUCUUCCACAAUGGGCGAAAGCCUGAUGGAGCAAUGCCCGCGUGAGUGAUGAAGGAUUUCGGUUCGUAAAACUCUGUUGUAAGGGAAGAACAAGUAGCGUAGUAACUGGCGUUACCUUGACGGUACCUUAUUAGAAAGCCGCGGCUAACUACGUGCCAGCCGCCGC
rnacentral:rRNA from 1 species